rnacentral:ncRNA from 2 species
AACGGACACUCUGGAAAGCGUUCCGGCUGUCUGCUGGAGCCACCGAAGGGGUAACCGCGGACUUUGUUGCCGGGGGAAAACUCUCAGGUUCCCGUGACAGAGGGGGCAUG